CAAGCGGAUCUCUUAAAGCCGUUCUCAGUUCGGACUGUAGGCUGCAACUCGCCUACACGAAGCUGGAAUCGCUAGUAAUCGCGGAUCAGCACGCCGCGGUGAAUACGUUCCCGGGCCUUGUACACACCGCCCGUCACACCAUGAGAGUCUGUAACACCCAAAGCCGGUGGGAUAACCUUUAUAGGAGUCAGCCGUCUAAGGUAGGACAGAUGAUUAGGGUGAAGUCGUAACAAGGUAUC
rnacentral:rRNA from 1 species